rnacentral:rRNA from 1 species
CUGGCCAGAGACCGAUAGCGCACAAGUAGAGUGAUCGAAAGAUGAAAAGCACUUUGGAAAGAGAGUCAAAUAGCACGUGAAAUUGUUGAAAGGGAAGCGCUUGCAGCCAGACUUGCCUGUAGUUGCUUAUCCGGACUUUUGUCCGGUGCACUCUUCUGCGGGCAGGCCAGCAUCAGUUUGGGCAGUUGGAUAAAGGUCUCUGUCAUGUACCUCUCUUCGGGGAGGCCUUAUAGGGGAGACGACAUGCAACUAGCCUGGACUGAGGUCCGCGCAUCUGCUAGGAUGCUGGCGUAAUGGCUGUAAGCGGCCCGUCUUGAAACACGGACC